GACGAACGCUGGCGGCGUGCUUAACACAUGCAAGUCGAACGGAAAGGCCCUGCUUUUGUGGGGUGCUCGAGUGGCGAACGGGUGAGUAACACGUGAGUAACCUGCCCUUGACUUUGGGAUAACUUCAGGAAACUGGGGCUAAUACCGGAUAGGAGCUCCUGCUGCAUGGUGGGGGUUGGAAAGUUUCGGCGGUUGGGGAUGGACUCGCGGCUUAUCAGCUUGUUGGUGGGGUAGUGGCUUACCAAGGAUUGGACGGGUAGCCGGCCUGGGAGGGUGACCGGCCACAGUGGGACUGAGAUACGGCCCAGACGCCUACGGGAGUCAGCAGUGGGGAAUAUUGCACAAUGGGCGGAAGCCGGAUGCAGCAACGCCGCGUGCGGGAUGACGGCCUUCGGGUUGUAAACCGCUUUCGCCUGUGACGAAGCGUGAGUGACGGAAAUGGGUAAAGAAGCACCGGCUAACUACGG
rnacentral:rRNA from 1 species